ensembl:snoRNA SNORD116 Small nucleolar RNA SNORD116
GGAUCGAUGAUGACUUCCACAUACAUUCCUUGGAAAGCUGAACAAAAUGAGUGAAAACUUUAUGCCGUCAUCCUCGUCAAACUGAGGUCC